GAUCUUUCAUAUUUGACUAAUGGUUUUGGAAUUUUACAAAAUAAAAAUUCUCACUUCUCACACAACACAAUCCUCAUAAUUUAAUCAUUAAAGUACUCUUGUUGGGGGAGAGAAGGGAGGGAAACUAUUCUCUAAUUUAUUUAUUUUUUAUAUUAGUGAUAAAUCAUAUGUUAGUCGAUUUGACCAAAUCAUAAUAAAUUAUUUAUACAUCUUUUAGAAUUUUUUUAUCAUUGUAUGAUUUAUCGUUAUUUAAAGUUUGCUUUAAUUUCGAUAUAACGCCUUGUUAUCUCGAUCCCAACAGCUCAUUCAUCCAACUACUCCUCUUAGUCGCUCAGGUACUCGUCUCAUAGGCGUAUUCUUUCUACCCUUUUGAAUCAAGGAGUCAUUCAGGGAAUGAGAAUCUGCCUUGGAUGUCAAUCUUGCAUUGCCUCAAUCCUAAUUGAUAUCGUCGUAACAAGUCUCAAUCUUCAUAUAACCUGCAUAUCUUAUUAUGUUUAGAACUUCAAAUAGAAGUUGGGAACACGAAGCUUGGAGAAUGUCAUAAUUUGACGGGACAAAAAAAUUUAGUGACCCUUUUUGACAACGGAAUAAAGUUUGUUACAAAUAUAUAUUCAGGUGCUCCAGCAUUAUAUUCAGAGCAAUUAAAGUGAUGUUAGCGAUAAGGAACUUAACAUGUGAUCUAUUCAUUACCAUUUUGAUCCUUAGCCACAUCAUUAUGAUUCUUUAUCGAAAUUUCACAUUUCAGAUACGGCACCCAGCUACUACUGUAUAUUAUAAAUGAAAAAGGUCAAAUAUACUCUUGACAUAUCGGAAUUAGUAAAUAAUAUAUUCUCCUUUCAUAUAUUUAAAUAAAAUAUCCCCACAAUUAUUUUUUGACUCAGCCUUACAUUUAUUACUAGAGUCCCUUUCUGAAAAAAUAAAUAAAUUAAUAUUCACAUGUCAUUGUCCUAUUGGACUAACUUCAAAUGAGGGCGGGUUAAUAUUUGGGUGGAUUAUGGGUGGAUUUAAUAUUUGGGGAGGAUUUUAAGUUAGGCCAUACAACGAUGACCCGUGAAUAUUAAUAAAAAAAGAAUCUCAGAAAGGGAUUAGUAAUAAGGGUAUGGCUGAUUCAAAAAGUAGGUAAUAACAUUUUUAAUCAAAUAGGUGGACAUAUUUUGUAUCAAUUCUGAUACUUUUCUAUAUUGUAAACUAAUUACACAUGUUACAUCCACAUCAUAGUUUAGGGAUUAUAAACAUUAAAUUGGGAUGUCUUUGGAUACUUUAAUAAUGAAAUAACCUCUUAGAGUUGGAAUCGUGAACUAGCUAGUAGACGUAAGUUUGAUUAGCAAAACCUUUUCAAGAGUAUUAUUCUUAUACAUAAUUCUUUUCACAUGCGAAAACGAAUAUGCUAUUCAAUUAAACGCGGACAUUUCAAUUACCUUAUCGCUUUUGUUGGUGUUGUCAUAGAAGAAUAUAUCCCAUAGUUGUGCUGCACAUGAUACUUACAAAGCCUUCAUUUGCUAUUACUUUUUUUUAAUCAUUCACUAUUUGUGAUCCAUUGAUCUGAAUACGGCAAAGGGCCAAAUAUACCUCUCUACUUUCGAAAAUGUUUGAAAAAUACUCUUCGCUACACUAUUGGAUUAUCUAUACCCCUACAGUCAUACUUUGGGUUCAAAUAUACCCCUCAUUUAAACGGAGGGACACGUGUCAUCGUCCUGUUGGUCAAUUUUAAAUAUCUUCUAAUUAAUUAAAAAUACCCAUUAAUCAUACUCGAAAAGUAAUUUUUUAAAGCAAGUUGUGAACGCAUAUAAAUAAAUAUGUAAUGAAAGUUAAACAAAUAAUUUACGGAAUAUAAACAAACAUCUUCAAGUGUUAGGAAUUAAACUUAGUCCGCUAACGUUAGAACCUAAAGUCUCCACCAGAAUCACCAUGUUGUUGCGCCCUAUUUUACACUAGGAUUCAAUAUGAUGGUAAUUCCGAGGUUUAUAAAAUAUUGAGUCGGCACCUAAUAUUUUAAGGUAUAUCAGGGUACUUAUAAGUCAAAUAAAGAUCAACUCUUAAUAGUAUGCUAAACCAGUGAGUUCUAGGUAAGGGUUCAAGUUAUUCUAAGGGGAAGGGGUGGGCAUCCCUUAAAAUCUAUCUAAUGAUAGUUCCUUAGACUUAGUCUAAUAGCGGGAAAAUAUUAUCUAUAUUCUAAUUGUUUUUCUACCUAAUCUAUUAAAGAAGUUUGUAUCCUAAAGUCUAAAUAUUUGAGACAUCUAUGUAUUUUAAGUCUAUAGGUGUAGGUUAAAAGUUAUUUAAUAAUUGAGAAAGUGAAAAGAACUUAUUUACGAAAACGGGAGCUAAGAGGUAUUAUAAUAAUCUGUUCAAAGAUAAAAGUAAAGAGAUUAGUAAAAUAAUUGCCAUUUAUGAAGCCUAAUCACAUGUAAAAGUGGAGGGUAUACAAUAUGGCUGAAUAUAGAUAGAGGAAUAAUAAUUAGAUAUAUAUAUGCAAGGGUUUUGAAAAUCAUAUGUAAAUAUACCUUGUAGCCUUUGCCUUGAAGUAGUUAAAUUCAGGGAUACGUUCACAAAUACCUACCCAAUACAAAUAAUUUAUCCGCCUCUACCCAAAUCAAAGUAUUUAUCCUGUCUACCUAUUCCAUGGAUCACAGAAUGCUUAUUGAUAGUCAGUACUCUAUUGAUCCUUUUCUUUAUUUUUUUCUCCCUUUGUUUAUAGUAAAAAAAUAACUGAUAGAGUAUUUUUUUUUUUCCUUCUUUGUUUCAUAUUUUUCUUUUUUCUCCAUAUCAAUUAUCAAAAAAAAAUAACCUAUAUAGUAUAUCACUAUAUCUAUAUCUUAUUUCUCCUUUUCUUUUUAUCUUUCAUUUUUUUUUCUUUUUCUUUUGUAAAUAUAGGUAUUACUGUAAGUAUUUCUAGCAUAUAGAAUCCAAAUAAUUUGAUAGCGCUUCGCGCGAUCAUGAAAGACUUGUUUUAGCCUUGUGAUCGGGAAAUGAUUGCAAUUCGACUUACUCGUCUAACGUCCAAAUAUACAACAUUCAGUGUGGACCAGGUCAUGGUAUCCCUCAUCAGCGUUAAGCAAUAGUUUAAUAGUUGACGGCAAAUUUUGUACCCUUACAGCCAUAAGAACCAUAUUCAAAUGUUCCUUCUUGUGUUUUAAUCUUUUAAUCAUCGCAUAUCCCACCAUCCACUGGCAUGACUCAUUCGGGUUUGCGCUUGCUAGGCCCACCAAGGGGUAAAAAAAUGUCUAAAAUUUUCUGAAGUUUAAAUUGCCUUGAAUGAAAGAAGUAAUAUUGGGGCCUUUAUAGUUCUUUUUCUGUAAUCUCUAUGCAUCGGCGACCUUGUUGAUUACUAAAUACAUCCAAUACAGUUCUUUUUAGUGACUUCAAUAUAAUGUAUGGAUGAUAUCAUGCUUUAAUAGAACCAUCCCCUUUUUGUUUACCGUCUAUUUUAAAACUGUGUAAAUGAUGCUCCAUGAAUGUGCAAGUCAACCAAAAAAUACCAGUGUGCAGCAGUUGCAACCCAUGUAGCUGUCUCUUCAUCCAUCUCUGCAAUUGCAUCUUCCAAUAAUCAUCAGCCUUCAGGUUUUCACUGGAAUCAUUGCAUUAUAGUUCUCUGCGAAAAGCAAAUGCAAAAAGUUAAUGAAUAAAAAAGUUGAAGAUCGUCUAACUUUUAAAUAGUAGAAUCAAAAGCAGAUGGUGU
rnacentral:lncRNA from 1 species